GUGACACUACUUUUAUUAUAGACUGCAGGGAUUCCAUCUUGAAUCUGCGAAUGUGUAGAUGCUUGUUUAAUCUGUGCAGAUCUAGAAUGGGUCUCCAUCCUCCUGAGGAUUUUUUUCGUUAGGAAGAUGUGUGAGUAAAACCCUAGAGUUCUUUCGUCUGUUGGAAUCUUAAUGAUAACUUUCUCUGCUUGUAGGGAUAAAGUGAAGUUCCGUAGGGCCAUGCGCUUCUCUUU